CUUGUGGCUUAGUGGUAAAGAAUCUGCCUGCAAUGCAGGAGACACAGGUUCGAUCCCUAAGUCAGG
rnacentral:tRNA from 1 species